AUUCUUUCUGCAGAAGCAAAACGCUAGUUUUCUUGUCAGUUGCAUACCUAUACAUUAUAAUUUCAUAAGCCCUGGCUCCAAAGAUGUCCAAUAAAACAAAUGAGUCAUAUCCCAAAAAAGUUUGCAGUCUUCACGUUUAGGGGCACCAGAAAGAGUGGGAGUUAAUAGCAGUAUCUGGUUUUCCGUCGCUCCUGAGCUAAUGCCUAAAUGUGGGAGCGUAGAACAGCUGAUGAUGCUAGAUGGUAGCUGGUCUAAAAGUAUUUUCCCUGACCUUAUUCCUUAAAGACAGCUAAUCAUAAUCAUGCACCAUAUUCCCAUUGACCAAUAAAAAAUAACUACCAGAUAUAAUGAUGUUCCUGUGUGAAAGGGGGAAAGACAGGAGAUUUGUGCUGCCCCCUUAGGAAAAUUCUCACUUUUUUGUCUCCUCUGCAGGAAAUGUCAAAGGUAAAAUGAGAUGACCAGCCUUAGGAGGUCGCCCCAAUUUAAUCAAUGCUGGUGGAUCAGUAUUAGCUAACUGAGGGAACGGGUUUGCUAUUUAAUCUAGAGUGGAGAGAAAGAGAGAGAGAAAAGGGCCAAGAAUGCCUUGCACUUCAGAAGCCCCCAAAAUUGUGAUCUCAGAGAAGGAAGUAGGGGGUUGGAGACUGAACUCCACACAAUUUGUCCACAUGGAAGAUACAGAGCAUUCUCUUCAUGUGUAAAUCAUGGCAUGGACUGACAUCAUAAUAUACACCACAGACCUAGUAAGAUUUCACUUGAAAAAUAAUGAGGCAGAUUUCUUUCAGCCAGACAGCGGGAGCAGACCUGAGACCAGAUCCGAAAAAUGGACUUGGCCAAUUGGAUUCUUUUGGGGCAUUAAACAAGUUUCUGGUGAGAAGGUCAGACAGAACAGGAUGCAUUAAGAGAUGUCUUGAGGUAGAGAAAAGCCACGAUGGGCCAUGUGCUGGCUGAAGAAAGCCAAGGAAGCUGGCUGAUAGAGAGGAGAGUGAGCCACUGACCAGCAUGAAUCAGAGAUGGAUCAUGAAGACCUGCGAGAAACGUGAGUUGUUCCCUAGAGCCCUCAGGAAUUAUCCCCAGUGAAGCCUGUUCCAGUUCUUGGACUCCUUUAAGAUCACUAUCUUUGUUGUUACUCCAAUAUAUCCUUACAUUAACUUACUUGUCAUCUCCCCAACGUUUCCUUGAGUCAGUUUUCAGUGAUGUUCUGCUCCUUGCAAUCAAAUCAGCUAGACAUAAACCCCUCUUAGAAAAACAACCAACACUCUUCCUUCCCUCGAGGAAACAACCAACAACAUUCCUGGGUGUCUAUUACAAAGCAGGGUUGCGUUUAUCUCUACCGUGAGGGGGAACAUAGGUGGUUGGCAGGAACCACCUUUUUUUUUUUUUGCUCUGCUGAUUUGUUCCUCUUUAAUGUAACCAUGGUGGAGAUCAGAUCAUCUGAACCCAUAGUCCUCAACUAGCC
rnacentral:lncRNA from 1 species